rnacentral:rRNA from 1 species
CAGCCGCCGCGGUAAUACGUAGGGUGCAAGCGUUAAUCGGAAUUACUGGGCGUAAAGCGUGCGCAGGCGGUUUGUUAAGACAGAUGUGAAAUCCCCGGGCUUAACCUGGGAACUGCAUUUGUGACUGGCAAGCUAGAGUAUGGCAGAGGGGGGUGGAAUUCCGCGUGUAGCAGUGAAAUGCGUAGAUAUGCGGAGGAACACCGAUGGCGAAGGCAGCCCCCUGGGCCAAUACUGACGCUCAUGCACGAAAGCGUGGGGAGCAAACAGGAUUAGAUACCCCUGUAGUCCCUGUCUCUUAUAC